rnacentral:misc_RNA from 1 species
GAUGAAGAACGUAGCGAAAUGCGAUAAGUAAUGUGAAUUGCAGAAUUCAGUGAAUCAUCGAAUCUUUGAACGCACAUUGCGCCCGCCAGUAUUCUGGCGGGCAUGCCUGUUCGAGCGUCAUUUCAACCCUCAAGACCCCUUCGGGGGACUUGGUGUUGGGGACCGGCACAGGAGCCUGCCUGCUUGUCUUGCAGCGCCCUCGCCGCCCCCGAAAUGAAUUGGCGGCCUCGUCGCGGCCUCCCCUGCGUAGUAGCACAAACCUCGCAACGGGAACGUGACGGCGGCCACUGCCGUAAAACAACCCAAUUUUAUUAGAGUUGACCUCGAAUCAGGUAGGAAUACCCGCUGAACUUAAGCAUAUCAAUAAGCGGAGGA